rnacentral:rRNA from 1 species
GACGAACGCUGGCGGCGUGCCUAAUACAUGCAAGUCGUGCGGACCUUGUUGAAAGCUUGCUUUUAAAAGGUUAGCGGCGGACGGGUGAGUAACACGUGGGCAACCUGCCUGUAAGACUGGGAUAACGCCGGGAAACCGGGGCUAAUACCAGAUCGUUUUUUCCUCCGCAUGGAGGAAAAAGGAAAGGCGGCUUCGGCUGCCACUUACAGAUGGGCCCGCGGCGCAUUAGCUAGUUGGCGGGGUAAUGGCCCACCAAGGCAACGAUGCGUAGCCGACCUGAGAGGGUGAUCGGCCACAUUGGGACUGAGACACGGCCCAAACUCCUACGGGAGGCAGCAGUAGGGAAUCUUCCGCAAUGGACGAAAGUCUGACGGAGCAACGCCGCGUGAGUGAAGAAGGCCUUCGGGUCGUAAAACUCUGUUGCCGGGGAAGAACAAGUGCCGUUCGAACAGGGCGGCGCCUUGACGGUACCCGGCCAGAAAGCCACGGCUAACUACGUG